GUUUGUGCUAACCCGUGAUAAAGAGGGGAGUGAGAGUUGAGUUACUGGAAACCUGGAAGCAUUGGGUCUUGCAUAAAUCAGUUCACUCACAGGCUGGUCUUAUGAACACAGGUGUCUCCAUCCAUCCAAUUCUGCACCAUCUGUCCUUCCAGAUUACGAAGCUUCCUCCUUUGUGCCAGACACGGUUGGGAGUCUGUCCCAUGGUUUGAACCAACUGGAUCACUUUCCCACUCCUGCCAUCCCUUCUCAUAUCUGGUUAUUUCAAAGCCUAUAGGCUCAGGCUGGAGAAGCCAAUUCACCUUCAGAAGGAAUGCAAUGGGCUAAAGAAUAUAUCUUAGGGUGCUGGUGAAAGAAGCAGAGAAGUAAAGGUAUGCUGUUAAUAAGUGUUUUAUGUUUCAAUAUUGUAUAGUUC
rnacentral:lncRNA from 1 species